AACCACUUUGGUGGUCAUCCGUAUAAAUUGGAACGAUAUAGAGAACAUUAGCAUGGCCCCUGCGCAUGGAUGACACGCAUAAAUCGAGAGCUCCAAUAUAUACUG
rnacentral:snRNA from 1 species